GACGAACGCUGGCGGCGUGCUUAACACAUGCAAGUCGAACGGAAAGGCCCUGCUUUUGUGGGGUGCUCGAGUGGCGAACGGGUGAGUAACACGUGAGUAACCUGCCCUUGACUUUGGGAUAACUUCAGGAAACUGGGGCUAAUACCGGAUAGGAGCUCCUGCUGCAUGGUGGGGGUUGGAAAGUUUCGGCGGUUGGGGAUGGACUCGCGGCUUAUCAGCUUGUUGGUGGGGUAGUGGCUUACCAAGGCUUUGACGGGUAGCCGGCCUGAGGGGGUGACCGGCCACUUUGGGACUGAGAUACGGCCCGGACUCCACCGGGGGGCAGAGGGGGGGAAUAUUGCACAUGGGGCGGAGGCCUGAUGCAGCACCCCCGCGUGCGGGAUGACGGCCUUCGGGUUGAAACCCGCUUCCGCCUGUGACGAAGGGGGAGUGACGGUAAUGGGUAAAGAACCCCCGGCUAACUACGUC
rnacentral:rRNA from 1 species